CCUGGGAAGGGAGAGGUUGAGAGUCAGGCUGCCAGGUGUUUGGUUUUCGACCAGAACGCCUGGUCGAAAAGGAACCCUUGCGACUCUGGUCAGCGCUGCUGACUGGGCAGUUAAAAGUCCAGUCGGCAGCGCAACGGGGCUAAGGCAGGCUCCCUGCCUGCUGCAGCUCCUGGAAGCAGCAGCAUGUCCCCUCUCUGGCUCCUAUGCGUAGGGGCAGCCAGGAGGCUCUGUGCGCUGCCACCACCCCAAGUGCCAACUUCACUGCUCCUAUUGGCCAGGAAUCGUGGAGCUGCCGGAGGAGUCUAGUUACAUGCUGCUGAGCUCACUUUGGGCUAAUGGUGCACCAGCACUGAGGCUCCCCUACUACAAGCUGAAUUCACCAAAGAGCUGAACUGACUGAGAGCUGAAAUCACUGAGUGUUGUAUUAAGUAGUGUGGGAGCCUGAAGAUAUAUUGUGGAGAAGUUUGCGGGACGGCUGGAGUGCCUUGUGGACAGGCUGGUGGAGCAGUUCAUGGGAUGGCGGGAGCUGCUGGUGAGCCACGGAGCUGAGCGAAGCAGUUCGUGGGGCAGCUGGUGGAGCGGAGCGGAGCGAAGCGAAGGCCUAUGGAGCUGUGGGGCGGUCAGCUUCAGAUCAUGUAAGGUGCCUUUUACCCCCGCCCCCGUCUCCACCCAGGUUGGGAGGUAAAGCUCUGUAGAUAAACUUUUGAACUCUAGGGCUGCCCUGACCAGGGACAGAGACUUUUGGGUCAUUGGACUUUUGGGACUUUGGGGUUGCUGGACUCAAGAACCCAAGGGGAAAGGCAUGCCCCAAUUUGCUUGGGGUGGGUUUUUUGCUCAUGGGUUGUGUUAUGAAUCCUGUUGGUGGUGUGUCCCCAACAUAAUGCCACAUUGUUUCUCUCUGUUAUUAAAAGGCUUUUUGCUACACUCAGACUAGGUGCUUGCGAGAGGGGAAGUAUUGCCUCUGGGAGGCGCCCAGUGGGGGUGGUAUACAUUUGUCCCAGGUCACUGGGUGGGGGCUCGAGCCAGUUUGCAUUGUGUUAUUGGAAUGGAUCCCCUAGAUAUUGAACCCGGCCCUUGUUGCUGCCAACUCUGACGGGCAGAAGGGUUACAUAUGGUUUUAAAACAUAGGUUUUCCUUCACAUGAACCUUCCUCAAUAAAGGGGAAAUUCAUCCCUGAGACAAGGGUUAGCACAAAACCUGUGCAUCACGAAAGGCCUGUUUUGAGGGUUUACAUGGGACUUGAAAUGGUGCAGAGACCUUGUGCUGGGUCUUUCCACAGGGUUGAGUUCUGUCCUUCUCUCUUCACUUGAAUGGGGCAGGCUCAGUCUCCAGCCCACCCCUCCAUGGCAGGACUGAUGUGGCCCCAGGGCCUCCCACUUUCCAGAGCAGGACCCAACUCCCCCUACCCCUGGGGAUAAAAUGUAAUAAAACAAAAUCCCCCCACUUCCCCAAUUCAAAAAUUUAUAUGAAAAAGUAAAGAGAAUUUCACUAACCCCACUCACUCACAAGCACAAUGCAUGUGUUACAGUCUGUGGUAUGGAUAUCUUCAGGACCCAAUCAAGCCUUGAGAUCCUUUCUCCCUCCACCUACCACUCCCACCCAGUGCACCUCAAUUAACACAACGGCACAAUUCUCACCUUGUGAGGAAAUACUUUUUCCACACAACAUGUAAUUCAGCUGUGGAACUCAUUGCCAUAGGAUGUUGCUGAAGCCAAAACUUACUUAAGGUUCAAAAAGGCAUUGGCUAGAUCUGUGGAUAAGAAGAACAUCCAAGAUUACGAUUGUUAAUGCUAAUGUAAAUUCUGGAAGGGAUAUUAAACCUCAUGUUUUGGGCUUUACACCAAUCUCUAACUAUUUGGGAUCAGAAUAAAACCUAAUUGUGGGGCCAGAUUAUCCUAAUGAGAGGUUUCUUGCAUCUUCCUCUGCAGCAUCUGGUGCUGGCGAGUAUCAGAGACAGGAGACUGGAGGAGAUGGACUUUGAGUCUGAUCCAGACCAGCAAUUCCUAUGUCCCUGUGCUCAAAGGAGAAGCAAUACUUUAUUCUGCAGGUGUUUCCACUGAUGAAAAUGGGAUUGCUCACAGAGCAAGCUACAUCCUGAAAGUGGAGCUAGUAAACUGACGGUCAUUGGGCAAUAUUGCUGAGAACAGAAUGAAGCAAUGGGCUUUCUCAACAGAACAAGUCAGACUGGUCCAUGCCUCAAAGAACUUCCAGUCUAGAUUUCAGAUAUGGCACAACAUGGGAGGACAACAAACAAAGAAAAGGAGGCUCAAAGGGAGACAUAGGAUGAAGAUUAUUACAAAAGUACUAUUAAUUUAUAUUAAAUUAGUGCUUAGAGGCCUCAGUAGAGUAUCCAGUUUGCUAAGUGCUCUGCAAACAUGUAGGAAACACCCAGAUUUUGCAGUCUAGAUCACAUAGUUCUGCACAUACCUACAAUGCAUAUCUUAAUGGUUCUAGUUCCAGUAAUUCCUGUAGUCCCUCAGAUAUGAUUGACAUUUCACUCCAUAUUCUUUAUGAAAAUAUGCUUAUGAUAUGAAUAUGACAUAACUGAUAUGUACUUUAUGCAAGAUGGGUCUUGUAAGGUGUCAUUGGAAAGGUAAUGAUGUACUAAAUAUGAUUAUCCAAUUAAUAUGCAUAUAUCGUUUCUGUAGCUAAAGUUAGAAAUAUGGACUAUGUAACAAUUACAACUGGGUGUGUAUCGGGAAGAAACCCACCAGAGGACAGGCCAUCAAAUUUAAUGGAGUGGAGAUGUAAUUUCUUCCCAAGAGUCAUCCUUUGUGAAUUGAUGCCAAUAACAAUAAUCCUCUUCUGUACUUCACACUGUAUGUUAUAUAUUGAUCCAGGUUUUGGUUGGACCACCUAAGAGACUUUUGAUGUUCUCUACAGUGAUCAUCUCUCCCUAAAUAUUUCACUAUUCCUAGUGUCUUUGUGCUCUUUUCUGCUACCUUCUUCACGAAGCUCAGCCCCUCACAUUUACUGGUUCCAGGAUGCGGCAGGAGGUCCUUCCAUCUUGGAAGUGACUUCCCAUUCUGUCUCCUCAGGCUGAUGCUGCCCCACAACUAACUAUUACUUGCCAAUCCUGGUUGAGCACACUGCAAAUCCAUCUCCUCGGUCACCAUGCUACUUUACAUCCAUGGUCACAGGUUCAAUGCUCACUUUGAGGGUGAAAGAGCUCUAACACAGGGCCAAUGGGCAUCAUUAAGCUUGAUCGAAGAAAGAAGGUGGGGAGUCCUAUAUUAAAGUAUGGGACUUCAGGGCAUAUCAGUUCCUCAGUGGGAGAGAAACUGAUGAUAGAGAUUUAGCAUAAUCCUCCUAGUCUGUUCAAUUUACAACCUGCAUGGGAUUUGGAGGGAGGACUACAGGUUGCAGGAGGGAAGUGUUCGGAAGCAGCACCAGAAAGUCAGUCUGUAUGCACACAGCCAGAAUGCUAGCUGCUCCUGCAGAAUCUCUGUAAAUGGCUCUCAUAUUAAAGAGCCAGUUUAGUUUUACAAGCAUGGAGUCCUUUAAUGGUAUUACCCAACACAUGGUAAAUGAAACACAUGCUAUGCAGACAAGCCCUGCUUAUCUUGAACAGAGACAGCAUAAACAGCAGCAAAGCUCCACAGAACCAAUUCCACUAUCAGGGUUCUAACUACAAGGCUUGUAUUCCCGUCCUUUUACCUAUAUCUUUCUUGUCUAAACCUGUAUCUUGGUUUUGGCACUCCAUCCCGGAAACUCCCCAGCUCACUUCCCACCACUGCAUUUUCAUUAUCAUUAUUAUAACUAGAUAAAGCAAGUGUCAAUUAUCUCCAACUGCCUCUCAACCAAACCAUCAUUUUUAGGCUGAUUUCUCAUAAGCAUUCCUGCAGAAGUGGGUCUUGAAGAGGGAUUUGAAGGAGACGAGAAUAGUGACCUUACAGAUCACUUCCGGAAUGGUAUUCUGUGCAUAAGGGGCAUUGAGGAAGAAGACACAGAGAUGGGCAUGUGACAAGCUAACACGUAGAUGGUGCUGUCAUUUUUGGUGGUUUGGUCUCCAGCUCUGUAUGUGGAGCUUGCUCCUGAAAGCUAAAAGGAGGUUUGAUAAAAAUGCCCCAUAGAAAUCUGAAAUAUCCCAUUGUGACGCUUUGCUCCAUAUUCUUUAUGCAAAUAUGCUUAUGAUAUGAAUAUGACAUAACUGAGAUGUACUUUAUACACAAUGGGUUUUGUAAGGUAUCAUUGGAAAGGUUAUAAUUUACUGAAUGCGAUUAUCCAAUUUGUAUGCCUGUAUCAUUUCUCAAAAAGAAAAGGAGUACUUGUGGCACCUUA